rnacentral:tRNA from 2 species
CUCCUCGUCGUUCAACGGAUAGGACACAAGCUUCCGAAGCUUGUAAUGUAAGUUCGAUUCUUACCGAGGGGACAA